rnacentral:rRNA from 1 species
AUUGAACGCUGGCGGCAGGCCUAACACAUGCAAGUCGAACGAGUGGCGGACGGGUGCGUAAUGUCUGGGAAACUGCCUGAUGGAGGGGGAUAACUACUCGAAACGGUAGCUACUACCGCAUACUCUUGGAUGUGCCCCUAUGGGAUUAGCUAGUUGGUGGGGUAAAGGCUCACCUAGGCGACGAUCCCUAGCUGGUCUGAGAGGAUGGCCAGCCACACUGGGACUGAGACACGGUCCAGACUCCUACGGGAGGCAGCAGUGGGGAAUAUUGCACAAUGGGCGAAAGCCUGAUGCAGCCAUGCCGCGUGUAUGAAGAAGGCCUUCGGGUUGUAAAGUACUUUCAGCGGGGAGGCGUUACCCGCAGAAGAAGCACCGGCUAACUACGUGCCAGCAGCCGCGGUAAUAC